rnacentral:rRNA from 1 species
UCGAGAAUCUUCCACAAUGGACGAAAGUCUGAUGGAGCGACGCCGCGUGAGUGAUGAAGGCCCUACGGGUUGUAAAACUCUGUCAGGAGAGAAGAAUCGCCGGGGUGCCAAUACCAUCCUGGUUUGACGUUAUCUCCAGAGGAAGCUCCGGCUAACUCCGUGCCAGCAGCCGCGGUAAUACGGGGGGAGCAAGCGUUGUCCGGAAUUAUUGGGCGUAAAGGGCGUGUAGGCGGCU